rnacentral:rRNA from 1 species
UACAGAGGGGGCAAGCGUUAUUCGGAAUUAUUGGGCGUAAAGGGCGCGUAGGCGGCCUGGCAAGUGGAAGGUGAAAUCCCUCGGCUUAACCGAGGAACUGCCUCCCAAACUGCUUGGCUUGCGACCAGGAGAGGUGAGUGGAAUUCCCAGUGUAGCGGUGAAAUGCGUAGAUAUUGGGAGGAACACCAGUGGCGAAGGCGGCUCACUGGACUGGUACUGACGCUGAGGCGCGAAAGCGUGGGGAGCAAACGGG